AGAGCCAAGAGAUUUGCAUUUGGAAGCGCCCCGUCCUCUUGCGCGUCUGGCGAGAAAGGAGAGCCUGGUGACCGACCGAGCUGCAUUUCUGGAGCAGUUGCUGGGUUUUUGCCUCGCUGAAGCAUGAGUAGCACCAGGGAAGUGGAGGCGAGGGAAAGGGAAUCCUGUCACCGAGCGGACACCUGCUCCUGCGCCCCCCCGCCCACGCCCGGGCCGCAGGCGCUGGCUCGCCCUCUCCAUCUGCCCUGCCGGCGGCGUUGCCCGCCCCGUCCGCCCCGCCCAUCCUUCCUCCAGGGCUGUGGAGAGAAUGGUGUGGGGACUGCAGGAAGCCCCGAAAACUAGACCAGUGCGGGUGCUGGGGAGCCAUAGGCCAGAGUUUUUUUUAAUCUUUCUCUGGAACCGACUCUCAGUUGCAGAACCGAGUUUUGAGCUCGGUGUAAAGUUUAAAUUGCAGUCUACAAGCUGUUUCAAAGAAUUUAAAACAGCUGAGAGAGUGCCCCGGGAAGGAGGUCUAGAAUAAUUGAUGCAUGAGUAAAGGGAGAAGGGGCUUCCCUGGUGGCACGAUGGAUAAAAGUCCUCCUGCCAAUGCAGGGGGACACAGGUUCGACCCCUGGUCUGGGAAGAUCCCGCAUGCCACAGAGCAACUAAGCCUGUGCACCGCAACCACUGAGCAUAUGUGCUCUAGAGUCCAGGAACCUCAACUCCAGAGUGGAGAGCCACAGCUUCUGAAGCCUGUGCGUCCCAGAGCCUCUGCUCCACGGGAGAAGCCACCGCAAUAAGAAGUCCGCACACCUCGAGGAAGAGUAGCCCCUGCUCUCCACGAGAAAGCCCACUCAGAGCAGCGAAGACCCAGGGCGGCCGAAGAUAAGUGAAUAAAUGCAUAGAAAAGGAAGAAGACUUGGAGGAAGAAAUAAAUGGUUUUAACUUGGAGAAGGGGGAAGUAUGUAGAUCUGGAAGAACCCAACCCCCAGCAGCCCGGUUCCCACUCCCAGCUCCCAGCACUCCACUGGGGCUCUGAGACGGAAAUAGACUGGUAACAGGAA
ensembl:lncRNA